GACGAACGCUGGCGGCGUGCUUAACGCAUGCAAGUCGAGCGGUAAGGCCCUUUCGGGGGUACACGAGCGGCGAACGGGUGAGUAACACGUGGGUGACCUGCCCUCAGCUCUGGGAUAAGCCUGGGAAACCGGGUCUAAUACCGGAUAUGACUCCAUGACGCAUGUUGUGGGGUGGAAAGCCUUGUGCGGCUGAGGAUGGGCCCGCGGCCUAUCAGCUUGUUGGUGGGGUGAUGGCCUACCAAGGCGACGACGGGUAGCCGGCCUGAGAGGGCGACCGGCCACACUGGGACUGAGACACGGCCCAGACUCCUACGGGAGGCAGCAGUGGGGAAUCUUGCGCAAUGGGCGAAAGCCUGACGCAGCGACGCCGCGUGAGGGAUGA
rnacentral:rRNA from 1 species